rnacentral:snRNA from 1 species
AUCGCUUCUUGGCCUUUUGGCUAAGAUCAAGUGUAGUAUCUAAAUAUUAAAAUAGAAACUCUAA